rnacentral:rRNA from 1 species
GCCUUUAGGCCGAGGGCACGUCUGCCUGGGUGUCACGC